rnacentral:rRNA from 1 species
CAAGACGGGCGGCUUAAGAUCAUUACGCCAGCAUCCUAGUCAAAGACGCAGUCCUCGGUCUAGAUAGGCAGUAUCAACAAAGUCUAUAACACUUCACCGAAGUAAAGCUACAUUCCAAUGUCAUUAUCCUACCAUCCAAACCGAUGCUGGCCCAGUAAACUGCGAGGAACCCAACCAAAAAGGAAGGGAACGCAAAAUACCAAGUCUGAUCUCAAGCCCUUCCCUUUCAACAAUUUCACGUACUUUUUCACUCUCUUUUCAAAGUUCUUUUCAUCUUUCCAUCACUGUACUUGUUCGCUAUCGGUCUCUCGCCAAUAUUUAGCUUUAGAUGGAAUUUACCACCCACUUAGAGCUGCAUUCCCAAACAACUCGACUCUUCGAAAGCACUUUACAUGGAAUUGGGCAUCUCAUCGCACGGGAUUCUCACCCUCUGUGACGUCCUGUUCCAAGGAACAUAGACAAGAGCCAAAACCAAAGUUACCUUCUUCAAAUUACAACUCGAACACUGAAAGUGCUAGAUUUCAAAUUUGAGCUUUUGCCGCUUCACUCGCCGUUACUGAGGCAAUCCCUGUUGGUUUCUUUUCCUCCGC